CCUACGGGCGGCUGCAGUGGGGAAGCUUCGGCAAUGGGCGAAAGCCUGACCGAGCGACGCCGCGUGCAGGACGAAGGCCUUCGGGUUGUAAACUGCUUUCGACAGGGAUGAACGGUAGGGGUGUGAAUAGCGUUCCUAUUUGACAGUACCUGGAGAAGAAGCCCCGGCUAACUCCGUGCCAGCAGCCGCGGUAAUACGGAGGGGGCAAGCGUUGUUCGGAUUUAUUGGGCGUAAAGCGCGUGUAGGCGGUACGGUAAGUCGGAUGUUAAAGACCCACGGCUCACCCGGGGGAGUGCGUUCGAUACUGCCGUGCUAGAGUGCAGGAGAGGAAAGUGGAAUUCCUGGUGUAGCGGUGAAAUGCGUAGAUAUCAGGAGGAACACCGGUGGCGAAGGCGGCUUUCUGGCCUGUAACUGACGCUGAGACGCGAAAGCCUGGGGAGCGAACGGGAUUAGAUACCCCAGUAGUC
rnacentral:rRNA from 1 species